GAUGAACGCUGGCGGCGUGCCUAAUACAUGCAAGUCGAGCGAACAGACGAGGAGCUUGCUCCUCUGAUGUUAGCGGCGGACGGGUGAGUAACACGUGGAUAACCUACCUAUAAGACUGGGAUAACUUCGGGAAACCGGAGCUAAUACCGGAUAAUAUAUUGUACCGCAUGGUUCAAUAGUGAAAGACGGUUUUGCUGUCACUUAUAGAUGGAUCCGCGCCGCAUUAGCUAGUUGGUAAGGUAACGGCUUACCAAGGCAACGAUGCGUAGCCGACCUGAGAGGGUGAUCGGCCACACUGGAACUGAGACACGGUCCAGACUCCUACGGGAGGCAGCAGUAGGGAAUCUUCCGCAAUGGGCGAAAGCCUGACGGAGCAACGCCGCGUGAGUGAUGAAGGUCUUCGGAUCGUAAAACUCUGUUAUUAGGGAAGAACAAAUGUGUAAGUAACUAUGCACGUCUUGACGGUACCUAAUCAGAAAGCCACGGCUAACUACGUG
rnacentral:rRNA from 1 species